rnacentral:misc_RNA from 1 species
CAAAGGGGACACCCCAACUCUCCCUUAUGAUCCCGCAUAUCUCUGAUAUGCGGGUGAGCGCUAGGCUUAUGCCAAUGAGCGCCUGAUGCGCUAGUGAUCCCU